rnacentral:snRNA from 1 species
UUAACCAUUUGCAACAUCAAAUGUGAAGAACAUGCAAAUAAAACCUUGUUCUUAUCAGCUUAAUAUCUGAUACGGGUGCUAUAUGCAUCCGGGAUAUUAUGGCAAUUUUUGUUCGAUGGGGCCGUGCAGGGGCUUGCUCCUCCGGUGCCGCGGGUUGUCCUGACAUUGCACUGCCGUCGGAUUCAGCCCUGUUCCC